rnacentral:snRNA from 1 species
GUGCUCACUUUGGCAGUAUAUAUGCUAAAAUUGGAAUGAUACAUAAAAGGUUAGCAUGGCCCCUGUGCAAGGAUGACAAGCAAAUUCGUGAAGCGUUCCAUAUUUUA